rnacentral:rRNA from 1 species
CAAUAGCGUAUAUUAAAGUUGUUGCAGUUAAAAAGCUCGUAGUUGGAUUUCGGGAUGGGCCAGUCGGUCUGCCGUAAGGUAUGUUACUGGCUGGUCUGUCCUUCUUCGCAAAGACUGCGUGUGCCCUUAAUUGUGUGUGCGUAGGAUUUGCGACGUUACUUUGAAAAAAUUAGAGUGUUCAAAGCAGGCUGACCGCUUGAAUACAUGAGCAUGGAAUAAUGGAAUAGGACUUUGGUUCUAUUUUGUUGGUUUCUAGAACUGAAGUAAUGAUAAUAGGGAUAGUUGGGGGCAUUAGUAUUUAAUUGUCAGAGGUGAAAUUCUUGGAUUUAUGGAAGAUAAACUACUGCGAAAGCAUUCGCCAAGGAUGUUUUCAUUAAUCAAGAACGAAAGUUGGGGGCUCGAAGAUGAUUAGAUACCA